GGUAGUAGAACCCAGUGGGAAGAGGGGCGGGACAGAGCGAUGCUGCCUGAACUGACAGCAAAUUUAAAUUACUGAGCUUUCUUUUGCUUUUUUUCUUUCUUUGAGUGCCCUUUCCUUUUUUUUUCCCUCUUUUUUAUUUUUUUGGUAUUUUUCUACUCUGCGACAAACUGAAAAGAUUCGAGCACACACUAAUUUAACAACCCUGCUUCGUCGUCUUCUUUUUUUUUCCCCUUCUGCUUCCAGGAUAAUUAAAAGAGAAACCUGUAAAGGCAACGUUCCUUCAAGCAAGUUGGUGCUGUAACGUGCUGGUCUACAAGCAGAAAGAGCUCAAGGUGUUAAUCAGCUGAACAGAUAUUCAGCUAUUUUCAACAGAAAAACAAGGAGUAG